rnacentral:rRNA from 1 species
AUUGAACGCUGGCGGCAGGCCUAACACAUGCAAGUCGAGCGAGCGGCGGACGGGUGAGUAAUGUCUGGGAAACUGCCUGAUGGAGGGGGAUAACUACUGGAAACGGUAGCUAAUACCGCAUACUAUCAGAUGUGCCAAGAUGGGAUUAGCUAGUAGGGGGGGUAACGGCUUCCCUCGGCGACGAUCCCUAGCUGGUCUGAGAGGAUGACCAGCCCCACUGGAACUUAGACACGGUCCAGACUCCCACGGGAGGCAGCAGUGGGGAAGAUUGCACAAUGGGCGAAAGCCUGAUGGAGCCAGGCCGCGUGUGUGAAGAAGGCCUUCGGGUUGUAAAGCACUGUCAGCGGGGAGGCGUUACCCGCAGAAGAAGCACCGGCUAACUCCGUGCCAGCAGCCGCGGUAAUAC